rnacentral:lncRNA from 1 species
CGGUUAGUUUGAGUCCGGGAAGAUCCGACCCGAAAUCUCCAGAACUCCUGCAAGUUCAACCUUCUUUGUCUCCGGAGAGGAUUUUAGCUGACUCACCAAGAGUUUCGAAUGCGUCCAAUGGAAAUGCACAAUCUCCCUCGCUGACUUUAACUUCUACAUCACCGGAUAGGGUGUUUGUAAAAGAAUCAGAUGAUCAGAGGGUGCAUUCUCCUUCCUUGUCUCCGAUAUUGGUCGAGAACCCAAAUUCAUCUGUUGUCCCGGAUCGUAAUAUGGGGUCACCUUCGCUGUCUUCGGCUACAACUUCACCAAAUAGAGUGUUGAUAGAGAAGCUAGAUGCAUCUAUUAGGAAUUUUAAUGAUUUGGUUCAGAAUAUGAGGACUCCGUUGAUUAUAUCUUCAGCCGCUACUAGUUCACCGGCUAAAGAACCUCCAAUAAAUGAUCUGGCUCGAUACGAGACAAGGUCUCCGUCAGCUUGUUCAACUUCUACUUCACCUGAUAGAAACGUGGCAAACAAUCUAAGUAAAUUCCCGAGAAUGGUGAAUGAUAUGGGUCGAAAUGUAGUACGGUCUCCUUUACUGACGUCAGCCUCUACAUCCCCAGACAGAGCUUUGAACGAGAGUGAACAGUCUCCUUUACUAUCAUCGGCUUCGUCAUCACCAGACAGAGCUUUCGAGAAAAGCCCAGAGAUGUCUUCUUCACCUGAUAGAAACGUGGUAAACAAUCUGAGUGAAUUCCCGGGAAUGGUUAAUGAUAUGGGUCGAAAUGUUGUACGGUCUCCUUUACUGUCGUCAGCUUCUACAUCCCCAGGCAGAGCUUUGAACGAGAAUGAGCGGUCUCCUUUGCUAUCAUCGGCUUCGUCAUCACCAGACAGAGCUUUC